CAGAAAUAGGUGCUGCCUCUUGUGA
rnacentral:piRNA from 2 species